CUCAGGAAACCCACUCCUCUAACUACUGCUCCUUAACGAGGGCUGGUGAAAACCAAUCACAUCCUGAAGAGGAAGAAGCCUCAUGAAGCUGUUCAUCGGACACGAGAUGAAAUCAACAUGCUGACGGGGUUUGAGACACACACGGGUACAGCUCACCUUUUCGGCAGAUCAGACACGACACAUCUGCAUGUUAAGUGAAAGCUUUACUCCUCCGCUUCCACAGAACACUCCGGUCUGUCUCUCUCUCACAGUCUACGUCAGCCAUCACUUUGUCUUCACAUUCAUAUGGAGGCCAACUUUCAUGCAUCUCACAUCAGAUUACCUCAGAUUCACACACAUUGAAAACAUCGGCUUUAUCUUUUAGGCGACGGGAGAGAAGGGGCUGUUGGGAACAGGAGGACUUGACAGGGGCAGAGAGGAAGUACACAGGAAGUACAUUAGUUAUCACUCCAUUGUCUUCUCCACCUUUUCAGUUCUCAUCACCACCUGACGUCUCAGACUUCCCGUCCCCGUCCUUUUCUCUCUCCGUGUCUCGAUUUCUCACACACAUGCCUUUAAAAGUGACUGCCGUGCUCCAUUUAAAUGUCGGGCCUUGAAAUGUAGGUGACACAAAGCAAGCUGCGGGAGCUGCAAGACAGUCAGAUGAAAUAUUUAAAUGAAACAUUGUGAGGUAAAAAAGAGGGGAAGUGGAAAGAGAAUAAACAAAUGGAAAAUAUUCCAUUUGAAAAUUUAAAUUGCAGUAGAUUAGAAUGUGACUGAACAAGAUUAAAGCCUUUUAAAAUGGGAAACUGAAAUACUAAUUAUUACACAAGAUCUUUUUUUUUUUCAUUUAAGAUUUUUAAUUAUGGUUUACUCCAAAUGAGGAACCCAACUUCAUUUUCACAAAAAAUGAUUACAUAUGACCAACAACAACUAAAAGGGUAUUUUAACAUAGAAACUUUGUUAAAUGGACAACACUUUCUUGAGAAAGACUAACAGUGAAAAACAUUAUUCCGUGAAUAUCAGAUGUUGCUUUUGAAUUGUGGUUCAACAGAACCAUUAAAAAAAUAAAAUAAAUAAUGAAACAGGCCUGAACCCAAAGGACCGUACCUUUAGAAAAAAUGCAAGUUAAUUUGGCUGGAGGGACAAGUUAAAGUAAAUGUGUCCUCUAAUUGGCCCUACAGGUGUCUUCAAGCUUCUAAUCAGUCAAUUUGCCUAUAUAAAAGGGCAGCACCACGGAAAAUCUACUUUUUUGAGCCAUCAUGUUAUAAUGUUAUUCCCUCAUCAUACCUGGAGUGUUGCCUUGAUUCUUUCAUGCAUGCUUGAGAAAUCCCUUCAUUUCCAUGGCAACCAUCCAGCUGUCCAAAAUGCCUUAGUAGACCUAGCCCCGCCUUGGAGACACAGCUCCUCUUCUGGGCUGCAGUUUCUAACCUUCAGAGUUUCCACCUCACAGAGCAGCCCUUUCCUACGACUCCCUCACUCAGCUCCUUCAGACUAGUCAGCAGUAAUUAGCAAACACCUGGUGGAACUGCACAUCUGCUGAGCUCAUUAUAGGAGCUACUUCUAAGUGCAACACUGGUAAAAAUGUUAAAGGGUUAAUAGAGGAGCCGUGUUGUGAUGAUUUCAUGAAGGCAGUUUCAGAAAGAGGGGGAGUUUUUAAAGAGACAGAGACCCAAAUUCAAGGGGUUACAUCAGAAAUUAAAAUUUCUUUCAAGUCAUUGAUUAAGUCAGUGAUUAUAUUGAACCACAAUUCAAAAGUAAUGUCUAAUUUUAUUGGUUAAUUUUCAGAAUGUUUUUAUUUAUUAUGACUUUUGUCAGUUUCAUAGUAUUUCAGUCAUCAUUGUGGGUUUUGUCCACAUUUAUAAAUAAAAUAAAAAGAUCUGAGACAUUCAUUUUAGAAAUGUAUCAUUUUGACAUUAAUUAAGUUGGUUUAAUUAAUGUCAGUGAGGUGACAUUUUAAGCACAAUGUACUGGACUUCUAAAAAUGCACGAUACACAAGAUACUGUCAAAUAAGUGCUUCUGCUGUCAGCAAUCUCCAUUUUAAAAAAUCUCAAAAUAUCAAAGUUUUCCAUGUCGAGUUGAAUUCUAACUACAAGUAGCAGUGACUGAGCGCAAAAAUACCAGAACACACUAAAAUAGACAGAAGUGUUUGAUGAGUUCUUUUGCACCUUUGCAUAUCAAUAGUCUGACAAGGUUCUGAUUUUUCUCUCAUUACUGUAAUCUUUGGAUAAUAUUAUUUUCAGAACCAUGUCUUUAUAAUUAAUUCUGCUUAGCUUUUGCUGAGUCACUUAACUUUUGAGCUAGAAUAAUUCACCUAGCUUGAUGAACCAGUUUUCUGACUGGACAUAAUCCACUUCAAGAACCUUUCAAUUAUAUUUAUCUGUGGAAAAAAAAAAAUCCUCAAUUUCUUUUACUGAAUCUCAUCAAAAUUCCAAUGACAACACAAGAAACAGGAUUGUAGCACCAACAAGGCAAGCCAAAAACUGAACAAUUAUGGUGAUGCAGCAGAUGAUAUAGCAAAAAAAAUGAUGCUGUAUCAUAUAAAUAGAACCCUAGGUCAGAAAUCUGAUUAUUUCUAUGAUUGCUUGGGGUAGGCAGAUCGAUACCAAGUCACUACCAAUAUUGGUACUAAAAGUGAUGCAAGCAUCAGAUUCCUUUAUGAAAUUUUAUUUUAUUUUUGUGUUGUCAUUUCUCUACUUUCUGGAUCAUUUCAUUUAUUUCAAAAGCUUUUCAUCCACCACGGAUUGGUGCUAACUUGUUUAUAAAUUAUUUUCUUGCCCAGUUCCCUUAUAUUUACAUACAUCGUGGUCAGAUGCAAUGUGGAGAAUUAUUAAUCAAUGUCUCUGAGAAACCUCUGAGGGGAAAAAAAGGAAAAUAGGAAACUGCAGCUUGCCUGAAACUUUUGCACAUAACUGAAUCCGCAAAACUCGAAACAAUGCAUAUCUACACCAAAGGCCUGAACGCACUAAUCCUGCCAUCCAGUAGUGGGGAGAGAGGUAUCACUUCAAAUAAACAGCCAGUUUCCCAGUCGCAGCUUUGUGAAUAAAUGAAGCAGAGGAGGAACAGAGAGAGGCUCUGCUGUGAUUGGGAGCAGAUGUGAGCUCCAGGUCUGGGUUUGGUUAAAGUCCCGCUGCCAGGAAUAUUUGCUCCACUUCAAUAAAUAGAGCUGUUAGGAGUGAGGUAUUUCCUCGUCACCAUGUCAAGGUUUCCGAGCGGAAGCUUCACAUGCACAGAUUUCACUUCUAAGCCAGCAACUGGAAACGAAACACUUUUUUUUUCCUACUGUACUUCACUGUAAAAAAUAUGUAGUUUGAUGUUCUAAAUGCUUUUCAAUUGCGAUUUUUAAAUAGAAUCUUAGGUCAGAAAUCUAAUUAUUUACAUGUCUCCUGAAGAUUGGUGAAUUGAUACCAAAUCACUGUUAGUAUCGAUACAAAGACUGAUGGAGGCUUCAUAUUCCUUUAUGAAAUUUUAUUUUAUUUUUGUGUUGUCGUUUCUCAACUCUAUCUCACAGAAUAUUUUAUUUUGGUUUUAUGUCAAAUAAUUUUUCUAAUUUGCUUAUUUAGGGGGGAAAAAACAUCCACAUUUGUUUAGGACUUCUAUUGUUUCUGUUUAUCUUUUAAAUUCUAAAGUAAUUUAUGGACACCUGCACACCCCGUUCAAGCUAAGAUUCUAAUAAAAUAAUUCAGAGAAAAAAAAAGCACAAAAUGCCAAAAUGUCAGAUGUUUGAUAUACCAAAGUUAAAUAAUAAAAAUUAUCAGUACAAUUAUGAGCAAUACUGGCCCUGUAUUUAUUAAGUAUCGGAUUGAUACCAAAAUAUGCAGUAUCUCACUCCUCUAGUGUUUGAAUGAAUCUUUUUAUGCACAACCCCCCCACCGCACCCCCCACCCCCACACACACAUCAGUUUGUAUUUCUACCCAUGUCAGGAUUUGGUAUUGUUCAUUUUAUUUACUAGAUUUUUGCCUAAUCCAGACAUUUUUUUAACCAGUACCAGUCUAUCCCUAACCUUAGCUAAAACUUAAUUCACAACAUACCUCUAACUCUACCUGGCAGAACUGGCAAAAAAGUGAGGACCAGGAAAAUGACCUCUAUUUGUUGGCAAGAAUGAUGAAAGUGGUCCUCUAUAUGUAGCAUAUACAAGUAUAAACACACACACACAUACUUGUGCAUGUACACCCAAGCCAUGAAAUUAUUCACACUCUUGGCAGAUUUACAUUGAAAAUAAUUUCCAUGCAACAAAGAAAUGUAUUUCUGAAAGGAAACGGGGCAGGCGUCCCUACAAAGACAACAUAUGACAUUACCUGAGGAUCAAUUCUAUAAAAAUGUUACAUGUUAUCAAAACAUUUUUACACCAGUGGAAAAAAUCUUUAUUGGCAACAACAACAACCAAGCCUCUCUGAAAGUUGCUGAGCAACUUUCGCUGUCUUUCCACUGGUAGGAUUCUUUGAUGAUGAAAUCCAAGUCUAUAAAACUGGAGGGCCUCCUGGCCAUCACCCUAAUCUUGAGCCCCCUCCAGAGAUUAUCUUACAGACUCAACUUGGAACUCUUAAAAUGUAAAUUUACAACUGGCACUUUGGAGUUCCCAGCCGCCAAAAAAAAAGAAGAAAAACCUCUCUUAGAGGCCUGCAAACACACUCUCUUUAAACGGCAGAAGCUUUCCCAAAAUUAGAUUUGCGCAGGUAUUUGCUUUACAAACAUUGAUCACAUAAUAAAUCCAUAACUUUUCUUUCUCUCUCUCUCUCUUUUUAUCCAAGGUUAUCAGACGCUUUCCCUCCAUUUUGUGCCGUAUUACCAGACUUUUCUUUCUCCCCCUUGGCCCGUCUACGAUCAAAACAUCGUGCAGAGAAAUCGUGGCGAUCCAAGAGGCUCUGAGCAGAAAGGUCACAGAGAGAGUCUGUAAAAUGGAUGAAGCCUAAUGAUUAGCUCAACCUUUGCCUAAUCAAUAAUCAUUUAUCCAACAAUAUCACCGGCAGCCACAGCCCCAUUUGCCAUUAACCUCAGCAGCGAGGCGAGAGGCAGUAUUGUUUCCUCUGGCAGCUUUAUGGCACUCCGAUGAGUGGUAGGGCCGGGAGGAAGCUUAAGGUUGGAUCUUGAUGGCUCGGAUCCUAUUAAGAGACUGCAGGUAUUUUACUGGAGAAGUGUCACAUAAUUACACUUUUAAAUGAUUGACGGUAAUGUUCGGCAUGCUGGUAAAACUGUACAGCGGGAGAGGGGGAUGAUCAUUUAGCUCCAGGACAGAAUAUUAAAAAUGUUUAUGUGCACUUAAGUGAAAACAAAGGCCUUAAAAAUUUGUUAAAUUGGAAAAUGUUGAAUUUUGUUUUGUUUCAUAACAAAAAAAAGAAACAUUUUAAAAGGUCUAAAAUGUCAGCUUUGUCUUUCCAUGUUCUGGAGCAUUUUGAAGAAGGGAAAUCAAUAAACGUGUUUAGGUCCGACUUAGCUCAUAUCUCCUUCCCCAGCAAAAAACACACUGCAAAUUAUCACGACAUAAAAACACUGAUCUGUGCCUCCGCUUCUUAUUCCUGUCCCACACUCAGCCGCAAAGCAUUAGCUGCGCCCGUCUCCUCUGUGUCUCUCCAUGAUGCCAUCUUCAUCAUAACCUCUCCCGUUUUAUUGCUUUUAAUGACUCCUUCUCCCUUUUCAUUAAUUCUUUAUCGAUUCCUCUUGACGUCGCCUGAAUUAUUUUUCAAUUACAGAAAAUAAAAGAAAAAGAAGAGCCACGGAAUAUGCACGGCUGCCUGCGUUUGCUAUGGUUGUGUUGCGGCCGCCGGUUUGUGCUCUUUAUUUCCUCCCCUACAUCUUUCUGGUAAAAACAUACACUUUCACACCCCUUCCUACACACAAUACACACGGAAUAUGACUACGGCUGCAGAAGAAGAGCGGGAAAGGUCACUGCUGGCUUCCAGAGGCUGAGCUGGGGUUCUCUGCAGUGUGUUUCCCAGAGAGAAGCGGAACUUGGACACGGUCCACUGGGGCAAGCAAACACACACACGCCAACACACAGAGAAAAUGUCUUCCAACUGACGAAUUGGGAUCUUUUAAUAUGCUGAUUUGAGAAUAUGAAGGAUGGUCUCAAAAGCAGAUAGAUGCGGUCGCAAAAUGAGCCUCUGAAGGCGCCGGUUUAAUACCCACAGGUCGUUAAUUAUAACAAUUAUUCAAGCCCAUAUCACAGACACAUAUUGACUGUUUUUUUUUCUUCUUUUUGGUCUCUACUUGGGUUGUCUGGUGACGCACCCCAAAAGGCUCAAUUAAAGAAUAAAGUGAGUGUAUUAAGUGUGUGUAUGCGUAGGGGUGUGUGUGUGAUUGUACAGGAAAUGGAAAUAGAUUUUCACCUGCACUGUUUAUUAUGGGGCGCACAAUGCUUUUUUGUCCCUCUGUUGUCCAAUUACAUCAUAUUAUGUUGAAGUCGUGUCAGACAGAAUUAUGUUUUAUGACCCGGAUGGGUGCAAUGCACACACACGCACAUACACACACAUAUAUAUAUAUUUGGACAUGUGAUGGAAAUCAAAUAAACUUGUUCCAUCCACUCACCUGUGUGGUCAUCUGAGUGCAUGCGCAGCACCGUAUGUCCCUUAAGUGUCGUAUUUAAGCUACCUUCGCCAUGUUGCAUGGCUGUCCUAUGAUGUGUGUGUUCCUCAGUGCGUGUGUGUGUGUGAGUGUGUGUUUGACCUCCACUGCCCGUCUCCCUGCCAUCCCUCCUUUGAGAGCCAGUGUGAUAUACGGAGCUCUAAUUGUCAGGUCUGGCCCCCACAUUCCUCGCCUCCAACAGCCGACCAACAGUGUGUCACUUUAACAACCGCAAAUUAUCACCGCGAUGGAGAUCUCGGCUUCACCGCGCCUCUAUGAGAAUAUAGAUACAUUUCCUUCAAUAAAUUACUUCCCACCAACCACCGACACUCCACACACACACACCUAUAAUCUCACACAGUCGACUCAUUACCUGUCUGCCGCUGUCCUCUCUCACACUCGCCGGUCUCUGACUGACGUUUUUACCACAACAUUAUUGUGUGUGCCUCAGGAUCUGCCUAAAAGGGAAUGAGAUGAAGCUAACCCUUUGUGUCACUUUGACCACGGUGUUUGAUUCUUAAAUAUGUGAGCUGGAACCGAACAGGGAGGGGCCGGGGAGUCUAGACACAGACAGAAAAAUACUGUUUAAUUUGCUGCGUUCAGUUUUUAUUGACUGUAAUUUUUUUAUUUUUUUUUUUAAUCACUUAAAAUGAAAUGUAGAAAGUGCUUCUGAAGAAUCUUUUACACAAUGGGUGUCCAGGCUUUUUGUCAUGUGGGCCAAAAUUGUCGAGUCAAAAGUGUUGGUGGGCCGAGAAAAUGAAAAGAAAAAUGAAAUCAAGUAAAUAAAGUAGUCAGAUUUUUGGGGGGUUUGUUAUUUGUAGGAAGCGGAUAUUAUUCAAUAUGAUUUAUUAAAAGAGCGGCAUCUUGUUUUCAAAUUCUUUUGGGCUCCAUUUGAAGAAUUUUAUUAUAAGUUUUAAAAACAGGAUUUGGGACACUUCCUUUGAAAAUGUUUGCUAUAUUUAGCUGAGUUUAAUUAAUAGUUGGCUUUCCAGUAAAAGUCUCUAAAUAGACGUGGUUCUACUUAUUAUAAAGAUUUAGUUGUAAAAAGAUGAAUACUUUAUGUUGUGCUUUACAUACUUUACAUUUAAGAAAUUUACGUCAAUAAAACCUUUACCCUGAUU